UUCAAGCCAAUGACCACUUCCCAGAACCUCUGCUGCCAGUGCCCCUGUCUCCUCAGUGAGCCACAGCUGCCCCCCACCUCUGCAGGCAACCCUCUGACACCAGCAGACUUGCUUUGGCCAAUGGAAUGUGGCUGGGAGUGCCACCAACUCUCUGGAACGUCCUCCUAGCACCAUGAGAAGAACACACACCAGGUGAAGAUGAAUGAAGAAGGCCUGAGCAUAACCAGAAGCCUGGGGUGGAGCCUGGCCCAGCUGAUUCAGGAGUAUGAUGUGAACAUCUGUUGUGCAGGGCACAAGAAUACUGCUUUGUCAUCAGAAUAAAUUGCCAGCUUGAACAAGGACGACUAUUUCUCCUUUGCCAGGGACAACCAAUUUGAAGACCUGCGCCACCAUGCUGGGCUCCCUGUCACAGUCUAAACAAACACAUCUCAUCGAUUCCAAGUUACUGUGAGCAAGGCUGAGCCCGUCGGAGGAUAACUGUGAGCUCUCGGCACCAGUCCAGGCUGUGAACGUUGCUGCGGAGUCUGACUGAAGCAGGGGAAUUCUCUUGAUUGCAAGAGGUGGUCCAUUCCAUGGUGUGACGAAAUCUGAAAAUGGAGAUGUUCUUCCUUGGAUUAAGCUGAAACCUGACUCCUAAUUCUGUCUUCCCAUGAAUACGCUCAUUCCUCUCCCCCUGGACAGCUCGUCUUGUCCUGCCACCAGGGGUCCUGGAAACCUGGAGGGUUGAUGAGGAGGCCAGGGAGGCAGAACAAUAUGUUGCCCACAACCAUCCUGAGAUCUGACCUGGACAAGCAAUGCCUUCUAUCCUACCUGCCAUCACAUGCAUGGAGCUCACAGACUUUGCGUGUAAGAGUCAGGCUUUAAUGCAGAUGACAGGGAAGAAAUGAAAGGCUUAUUUCUAUCCUGUAACUGUGAAGUUCCUGCUAAGUCUUCCCUUCCACACUGUAACCAACUCAAGGGCAAUGGCUGUGUUUUGGUUUCUCCGAAUAUUGGGCAGCCACCACUGUGCUGGGCAUAUAGUAGGUGCUCAAUAAAUGCAUGUGGAAUGCAUGGCUCUAUGACCCAAACCAAUUCAUUGGGAUGGAUGGUGUAAAUCCAACCCAGCACAUUUAUUGUAUAAAAAUAGUUAAUGUAAUGAUCAGUAAAACUGUUCUUUCUCAGAUGUCAAGGAAAGAGGGAGGAAGAAUGAACACAGUAAAAAUUUGCUAUCUGCCAGGCAGUUUGCAGAGUGUUUAUAUGGGUUAUUUCGUUUCUAUACGAAUAUCAUCAGGUCAGUGCUAUUAUCGCAUUUUUACAGAUGAGGAAACAAAUGCUUUGAGAGAGUGAGCAGUUCGACCAAGUUGAAACAGAGUUGUCUGGUUCCUCGGUGCCCACACCCAUGUAACUGGUGCGUGCUUCAACUCUCCUAAACUUGCCCACUUUCUCCCUCACUCCACUGCAAUUCAGACCCAGCUUUGCUAUUCUCUUCAUCAACCCAAGUGUUAGAGGUCCCAGCCCACCUUUCCCCUGAGGCUGCCCAAGUAUUAACACAAGCACUAACUCCCAGGACCUGUUGACUGAUUUCAGUUUUGUGAAUGUCUGUGUAAUAAUGAUAGUGACCUUUAACUGAUUUCCUACCAUAUAUCAAGAACUUCACACACAUGCAUUUUGAAACCCCUAUAAGCUUUAUUAGGAGGGAAUUAUUCUUACCACUUAACAGAUGAGGACAUUGAAGCUCAGAGAGAUUAGGAGCCUUGACCAAGAUCUCAUAGCUUCAACCUGGAGCAAAUUCCAAUACCCGAGCUUCCCUACCUGUCCCCACUGUGCUGAACUCUGCUGCGGUAAAAAGAUGAGCAAGACAGUUCCUCUCCCUGUGGAUCUCACUCUCGUGCUGGGACAUUAGCUGAAGACCCUGUCUCCUGGCACUUCCUGUCCUGCCUUUUACCUUUUUUCUUUUUAAUUAAUUAAUUUAUUUUAUUGGCUGUUUUUGGUCUUUUUUUUUUUUGCUGUGCGCGGGCUUUUGCGGUGAGUGGAGGCUACUCUUCGUUGUGAUGCACGGGCUCCUCAUUGCCGUGGCUUCUCUUGUUGUGGAGCAGGGGCUCUAGGUGCGUGGGCUUCAGUAGUUGCAGCUCAUGGGCUCAAUAGUUGUGGCUCAUGGGCUCUAAAGCGCAGGCUCAAUAGUUGUGGUACGCGGGCUUAGUUGCUCCGCGGCAUGUGGGAUCUUCCUGGAGCAGGGAUCGAACCCGUGUCCCCUGCAUUGGCAGGCAGAUUCUUAACCACUGCACCACCUAGGCAGCCCUGCUUUUACCUUUGCAGGGACUCUGGGAUGCUUGGGGGAGCUUCUCACCUCUAAUCCCCAAGAAUUCCAUCCUCCAGGCUCCCUUUCCCCUAAAUCCUGGCCCUGUCACUUACUCACUGUGUGGCCCUGGGAUAAGUCAUUUCGUGUUUGUCCUGCUUGGUUUGUAAUUAGGGGCAUUGAUAUCCCUGUGAUAGGUGGGCGGUGGUGGAGGUUAAAUAUUUCAAAGAUGGUGACACCAUUACGUAUUUGAUAUUCCUCCACUGAGAGAUAGGGUCUAUAUUUCCUUCCCUUGAACUUAGACCUUUGGAACUGCCUUGACCAACAGACUGUCGACUGGAAAAAAAUGUGCAACCUAAAAGUUGAGAAUUAUGUUUUAUUUGGCAGACUUUCUGAGGACUGAAGCCUGGGAAACAGCCUCUCAGAUAGCUCUAAGGAACUGUUCCCAAGCGGUAAGGGGGGAGCCAGGAUAUAUAGGAGUUUUGCAACAAAAACCAGGUAGUCAGAACAUCAAAAGAUUACUGUUAAUUUAAAGAAACCCAGAAAUCUCAAGUUAAUGAAUUUAGCGCUUUUCUAUGUAUGAGAAGAUGCAAGAGUCUGGGCUCAUUGAAAUCAUUCCUUUGAUAUGCACCUCAGCUAUCUAGGGCCAGUAUCCUGUUCUUUCCCAUCCUGAAUUCCCUCUGGGGGCACCGUUGGGGGUGGCUGCCGUGGCUGCUGGCUUGUCAGUGGGCAGCCCUUUGGCUUCCAUUCUGAGUUCUCUCCUGCUCACUGCCAGGGGUGGAGGUAGUGGCUGAUGGCUUGAUGGCCACAGCAUCCUUUGUCUGCUGAUAGGGCAGGCAACAUUUUUCAUUCGUAAGGCUGUGGCAGAACUGCCCCCGCAUGGUGUCCCAAGCUGGGUCCUAAAAGGUAAUAUAGCUUCGGCCUGGCACUAUUUCUUGGGACAUGCACCACGGGAGCUCGUGACCUGGAGUCGUGGAGCCACGUGUUAGGGCAGGUAGACCACAUAGAGAGAGGGAUGUGUGAGGAGGCCCGGCUGGUCCAUUCCCAGCUGUCCCAGCAUUAACUGAUCCAGAGCUCAUGAAGAGUUUAGCACUGUUUCAGGAAAGGUCCUCGUGGUAAGUCAGGAUGGAACCACCUCAGGGCCGUGAGACUCUGGUUGUGGUUUUUAGAAAUCAGCAUCAGAGUUUUUUGAGUUACUCAACUCCUCUGGAGGUAGGUUUUAACCAGUUUCAGGAGCUAUAAGGCCACAGGAAUGUAGAACUCGGUUCAAAACACACUAUAAACUGACUCAUUUUCACGAGACUAUUAAAAAAAAGUUGAACAUAUGCUUCGUUUUCUUAGAGCUUCCAAAAACAAUAGGGAGGUCUUUCAAAUGGAGCCAUGUGUGUGCAGAAGAUCUGUCUGGGAUCCAAAUCCUUCCCUAAUGUGGUUAGCCUGAAGAAAAUUCUUUUGUUUCAUUGAACCUGGAGGCAAAGAAAACUGUUGGGCUAGAGACACAGCCUUUGGUCACAAGGCUGGAAAAGUAAUAUCAGAGAUGAUCGAGUAAAUUAGGGCAGUUUCUUCCCUCCUCAAUAACUUGCCCAUCUUCCCUUCUAGGUCUUGAUUGUAUAAAAGGUACAAGUGACUUCAGAUUUAAUGAAACCUGAGUGGCAAGGAAAUAUUAUAUGUGAAGAAGCCAAACGGUUGGUUGUGUUCAGAUUGUAAAGGAAUUGCCCGAACUGGAAGUUUUUAGGGAUCUUAUAGUUAAUGCCCUUUGUUUCUAUGGGUGAGAGGUUGGAAGCCCAGAGCCAGUUAUAGAGCUGGGGUGGGAACUGGGGAUGCCUGAGUCUUUUCUGAGCUACCUGGCAGGAUACUAGUUGCCAUUGCUCUUUUAAAACUUCCCUUUAAAAGUAUUUAAAUCCCCAAAGAAAUCUGUGAGCAGGGAACCAUUAGAGGGUGGGCUAAAGUAAAGAGAGACAAAGGGAGAGGAUGGCAGACAAUGGGACGGAGAGAAGAUCUGAAUGUUGUUUCCUAAAAUUCAAGUCCUUCUGCUGCCUGAAGGGGUUGAAUUGGAAAGGCUGGGUUUCAAAUAUGGGAGAUGGAUGGGGUGCAGUGUGUGUGUGGUGGGGGGUGGAGGGGAGACAGGUUAGUCCAAUACAAAUGUGAUCACGUUCAAUCUGAGAGCUAGAAGUUGCGCUGUUGUUUGCCAACCGAGGGAAGGGAAUGGAGGAAAAUUUGGCACUGUUGUUUCUCGGAGACCCAAAGAAAGUGAGGGAGGGAGUGUGGGAAGACCCAAGAGAUCGUUCGGGGCAGAGGGAACAGCAAGGAUGAGGUUGGAACAGACAUGAACAAUUGAGGGCUGCAUGGAGACCAGUGUGGGUGAGCUGAAUGAGCAAUGUGACAUCCCAGGGGAUGAGGUUGGAGAGAGACACGGGGUCAGGUUCUGUGGCACAUGGUGUAGACUCUGGAAGAGUUUGGUACUUCCUCUGAAUCUAGCAGGGGAGUUGUAAGCUAGAGGGCUUCUUUAGGGCAGGGACUAUGUCUAACCACAGCUGAGGUUAUCAUGUAUUGCAAAAAAGGAAUAUGCAGCCCUGACGCCUCUGGUAGAAGAAGUGGAGAAGAAAGAUGCGCAAGGAUGAUGGGACCAUGUCAAGCUGCUUUCUGGUCCUUAGACCAACGUUUCAGUUCCUGACCUCAUUCCCUCCUCACUUCACUCCUGUGACUAAGCAGUGAAGAAAUAAUUGCCUCUAUUUUAAGACAGGACACUGAAGCGAAGAGAGAUUGACCUGCUUGCCCAAGGUCACAGCUGAUUAUGGCAGAACUCAGAUGGGAGCCCCAGGCCUCCUGGCCCCCAGUCCAGGGCUAUUCUGAAACCCCCAGAGUCCUUGACAGGGAAGCCAUCUCCAUGCUUCCUAACUCUAAACGCUGCUAUCACGGACAGGGCUGGGAAGGCAUUCUCCUAGGGGUCCCCCCAGAUAAGUCACCACGAACCUCUUCUGAGGGAGCAGAACGGAACGCUCUCUGGGACCUGGCAGACUAAAUAAAGAGUGUUACCAACAGGGUAUCACCCACAGAGAAACCGUCUGCUUUCACAGAGCAGCCGAGAAAGAGUUUCACGUGGUGCAGUGCUUGUUACAGGUUUGUGCUGAAACCCCAGGGCAGACCACCCACGCGUCAAGCAUGGAGACCCCCAGGCAGCAGAUAAGAAUCUAGGUUCCAGACCUCAGAAACAGAGCUGUCUUUGCUUCUCUGCAGCAGAAUCUUGUUAGGAUGUCAAGCCUCUGUUAGGUUCAGUUAGAAACGUCAUCUCCGUCCAUUCGGGCAUCUUUGGUGAUGCGCCUGGGCUCUGGAGGGCUGCUGACUUCCCGGGAACUGCGUGGAGGGAGCAGUGGAGCUCAGCACUGCCACCCCCACAUGUGAUGUUCCUGUCUGGGCUUCGGUCCUUGCUCCAUUGCUCUGUCCCCUCCCCUCCCUGACUGCAAGUCUCCUUUUGUCCUCCGGCCCUCUGUGAAAUGGGGACAUCUACAGCAGAGAGCUGCCCCACCGAGGCUCAGGGGACUCGAUACUCUGCCUCAUGGGCAUAUGCAGACAUUUCAUCUGCUCCCACACCGUCCCAGCUCAGCCUCCCCAGGCGCCACUUGCUCUUGGGUUCUCUAAACUCCUUGGGGGCUUACUCAGCAUCCCGCCUCCCUGAGCUUGGCAGGGGUGCUGGCCGGACCCAAGAUCCCUGCACCCCAACUCUGUCCUUACCCCAGCCCGGGCAAGCUUCAUGAGGUGUCAGUGAAACCACAGCAUGAUCUGUCCUCACCAUGCAUUCUUCUGGUGCUUUUGCUGGGGUUGAGACUCCUAAACACUCAAAAUUGCUUCUUUUGUUCUGUCUGCAUCCUUCUGGGGCAUCUCUUCCCUGAGCCCCUCAACACUGAGUGUUUCACCUGCUGCUUAAAUGCAGGGAAAGAACCACAAGGUACAAGGAGGUGUGGGGACCGCAAAAUAAAACUAAAAAUAAAAUCUUAUUAAUAUUUAAAAAUAUUUACCUUCUACUUUAUUAUGUGCCUGAUGUUUGGAACAGCUGCUCUGAAGUCAGACCUGGUUAGACUCCUAACUGCAAGGUGCUUUAUUUAUCAAUUGGGACACACAUAUGAGACUCAGCCUCAUUUAUAAUGUGAAAGUAAUUAUUCUUAUUUGAUGGGUAAUUUUGAGGAUUAGAAAAGAUAGCAUUUCUUAAGCUCUUGGUACAGUGCCAGGUCACCGUCAUGAUUGUCCUCAUUCUGAUCAGGGCUUCAGUUAGUGGUUAGUGUUGUGUUUUCUACCUAUGCAGUUGGGGAGGUCCCAAGACCUCCCCCAGGUCCAGUGAUUUGUUAGAAGGACUCACAGAACUCAGAAAGCCAGUAUACUCGUGGUUGUGAUUUAUUACAGUGAAAGGAUACCAGUCAGAAUUGGCCAGGAGAAGAGGCACACGGGACAGCGUCUGGGAGAGUUCCAGACAUGACAUCUCAGUUGUCCUCUCCAUGUGGACUCCUGCGAACAGCACUGACUUUCCCAGUAAUGAUGUGGCAACACUCACUGAGUAUUUGGAACCAGGGGAGCUCCUCUGAGACUUGCUCUCAGAGUUUUUAUUGAGAUUUGGUCACCUAGACAUGGGUUGACAGCCCAUGUGGCUGAUCUUAGUCUCUGGCCCUUCCUGAGGUCAAGUUGAUACCACAUGGCCCAAAGACCUCCAUCGCAAAUUACAUCAUUAGCACAGACUAGCAGGUGUGGGCCAAGGCCCCCAGGUAAAUAAAGACACUUUUCAGGCAGGACAUUCCAAGGGCUUAGAGGUUACCCCCCAGGAGCUAGGGCAGGUGACAAACCUUUCUUCAGGCAAAGUACCCUUCCUGAACGAGCUGUAUCUUUAUCCUGGUCAAACCCACAACGUGCAUCCACUCGCCUGGCACAGUUUGCUGAUAAUCUGGAUGUGUCUCCCUUCCCCUUUCUCUGCCUUCUCCCUCCUUUUCUUCCUGAGCUAGAAAGCAUACUCCCUCUGGCAUCUGCUCUCUUUUGCAUUCUACUGGCCUCCUGAAUAUCCUUGAAUCUGUGCCUUCUUUCCAUCCUCACUGUCAAGGUCACUGUGGGCCACUUGGGCCAGGAUGAACACCCCCUAAUAGGCCUUUCUAACUUCUCUCUCUACCCCAGUCAACCCUCUGGAGUGUUUAGAGGGAGCUCUCUAAAGAGCACCAACUGGGUCUUACCCUUCGCUUGAAAGCCUUUGGUGAUUUCCAUCACCCAUGAUGUUCAGGUUCUCUCUGCAAACUCUGCUUGGUUUUCUGGCCACUUUCCCUGUCACUUUCUCCCCUGUCUUCUGAAUAGGAUGUUGUUAUUCAAAUACAGCUGUUCACACCCCUGGGUGUUUGCUCUUUCCGUCUGGGUUAUUUUCCUGCCUCUCUCAGCACCUGUGCCCCACCACCCUCCACUCAUCAGGACAGGCCAACUUCCCUGGGCUCAACGAAAAUGUCACCUCCCUGGAGAAGCCCUCCCGGUCCUUCCUGGAUGUUCCGCAGUGCCGUGGACAAUCCUGCUGUUCUACCUUGUCCCGUGAUGUUUCUGGUGCUGCGCCUGGUGCGUGGGAGACAUUCAGCAAGUACGUGUUGGCUUGAUUCACAGAGAACAAAUGAUGCAAUCUGCCGCAUAUCUGACUCCAUAUACUAAAGAGCUGCUGGAAGGAAACACCAACUGUCUCCAAUACUGCCACCUUGUGGCAAAGUGGGAUGAUAACCAGGUCUUUAGGGAAAGUGGGUUUGUUUUGAUCCACAUUUUCCCCUGAUGGUGCACAGAGGAAAGGCCAUAUGAGGACACAGCAAGGAGGUGGCUGCCUGCAAGUCAGGAAGAGAGCUCUCACCAGAAACUGACUAUGCCAGCACCCUGAUCUUGGACUUACCAGCCAACAAAACUGUGGGAAAUACAUUUCUGUUAUUUGAGCCAUCCAGUCUGUGGUAUUUUGCUAUGACAGCCCAGUAGUGUAUUCUGAUCCUGUCUUAUCCCAUGACUCACAAAUAUUCAGUGGGUUUAAAUAAUCUUUAUUUAUUAUUGAAGUUAAUAUCAAACUUAUUUAAAAGUUAGUGAUAUUUAACUCUGCUCUAUACUCUGUAAUGACCUAUAUGGGAACAGAAUCUAAAAAAGAGUAGAUAUAUGUAUAUGUAUGUAUAACUGACUCAUUUUGCUGUACACCUGAAACUAAUACAACACUGUAAAUCAACUAUACUCCAAUAAAAAUUAAUUUAAAGAAGUUACGAUAUUUAGCCUAAUUUAAAUAAACUCACAGGUGUCUGCUGGGAGCAGGUAUCUUAUGGAGCCUGGAUAAGGGGUUGAAUCUGAGUGACGUGGGUCAAUACAGUGAUGGCAAAUACAGCUAUAAGCCCUGACGAGAGGAGCUCAAGAGAGAAAGUUCUGGAAAGGCAGCGAAAUAACAAAGAGGGCUCUGGGCUGCCACAGACCUUAGAGAGGGGAUUUGAAUUCAUUUUACAUAAAUCUAUGAGCACCCAGCUAUUAUCUGGGUUACUAAUAACAUCUUAAGUUACAGACCCCCUUCAAGUUGCAGACUGGAUAGACCUCUGAAAAUUUCAGUCAAGAUUCUUGUGUUCAGAUGAGGAAAGUCAUAGAAGCAUCUUCCAUAUGUUGUUUUUAUGUGGCUUUUUCCUGUCUGGGCAUGAUGCAAUUUAUAUAGUACUUUAGAAAAAAAAAUAAUGUGUUUGUAUUACUAUUAUCAAGUGGAACAAUAAAAAUCAGUAAAAACUAGGAUAAAGGGAGUCCCAACUUGAGCCUAAGCAGUAUGUGUGUGUGGCGGGGUGGGGAAUUCUGACUUGCUUGGGCAGAUCAGGCUGACAGGGGUAGGGGUUGGUGAGGUAUUGCCUGAGGAGCUUCCUGGAGGAUAAACUCCUUCUAAUGGAAGCAGAGACAGAAUGAAGGAGGAAGAAGACUUCACUCUAUGCUGAUGAAAACGUUAGCCAACUAAUAAGCUAAUAAGCUUAUAUACGCAGCCAAUUUGACUUUGAAUCAUGUGAUGUCGAAAGAGCACGAGAUAAGGCAAUAACAAAGUCUCACCUUACAUGUGGUUGGCCAAAUAUUUCCAGGCAUGUGGCAGUG